rnacentral:misc_RNA from 1 species
AGAACUUUUUUGUGAUAGUAAAAUGUUCGUUCCCAAGUUGUUGCUGUUGCUUUCCUAAAAACACAAACGAAAGCACAACAAACCGCCCAACCGUAUUUACAACAGAUAGAUAGCGCGCGUGAGUGUUAACCGCUAAUAUUGUACCUUCUCAUCUUGAUUAAAAUGGAGGCUCUCGAUACCCCUAAGAGUAGACUCAAAGUUCCUGAUGCCUGAUAUGUUUCGGGCGGAGGUUGUACGGUUCUGAUCAGCUGGUAAAACAGGGGUAUGCCUUUGUGCACCAGAAAUUUUGUGUACAGCUCCUAAACUUGGAUCUGUAACUGGAAUGCGAGAUGGGUCGGUUUCACAUCCUAGGUGGGCUAAAUCUUGACUGCUAGCGAUGGCAGCUCGUCUUGAUGAUCCACUUGAACGUACAAUAUUGGAGUUUGGUAGUAUGGGUUCCUUGGCAACAGCAGGAUCAUUUGUGGCUGGAGGUUUUUGUUUAGACAAAUUUCCAGUGCCUGUAACUGGACCGGAGUUUCU